rnacentral:lncRNA from 1 species
AUGCAAUUUGUUUCCUGUAAUCUGCUCUCUAGCUUUGUAUGAUAGRACUGAAUAGGUAGGUGUUGAAAUCUUCCUUGGAUGGAAUUUUUAGGCAUUUAGAAACCAUUUCAAGAGUGGCAGGAAUCCCAAAGUUUUGUUAAUCACUUGUAUAUUUGAUAGACAAAUGUGACUUAUGAAGCUGACAUGCCUUUCACACUGUAAUAAAUAUUUGUGCUGAACUCUUGCUUCAGAGGCUGCACGGGGCGAAGCGAUGGCCCAGGUUACGGUUGGCAUGCUGAUAGAACAACCAGAAGAAAACGUAGAUGAACACAACCUCGAGGAACUCGAUGCUCAGCGUUUGAGUGACAGCGAACUGCGGGACCAGCUCAUCCUGUAUGGGCUCGAACCUGGACCAAUACUGCCUUCCACAAGGACACUUUAUGAAAAUAAGCUUCUGCAGUUGAUAGAUGAAAGCACCCUAGCCUGCUGUGGUAAGCCAGAUGAAAGUGGACACCUCGAUGAGGGCUCAGAAAAUGAAGAUCAUGAAGAACAAGGUACAAUAUUAAAAUCUCAGAAUCUAAAAAUAAAAAAAAAGGUACUAGUCUUUACAAAACAACAUCUUUGCUUAGUGUUGAGUAUUUUUGAGAUAUAUUUUGAAAAUCCUCCAGGGACAUACUGCACGAGGUCUUUAGGUACCUAAAGAUGCAGAAUAUAAAUUGAAAUUAUUUCUCUUCUUUUUUUUUGGGAGGGGGGG